AUUUUAACUGUGUAUAUUUACAGAGAAGCAGGCGGCACCUUCGGCAAGAUGGAGGCUGCCAGAGAGGAGGAGUACUUCAGAAGAAAGAACGCAGAGCAACUUGCUGAAAUAAAGAAAAUUCACGAAGAUCAGAUAUCAUACCAUGAACAAGUGAUAAAACAUCACCAGGAUAUUAUAAAACGUCAUAAGAAACUGCAAAAGGAUUUGGACCACUUGGAAAGUGAUAGUGACAGCGAUGAUGAUAAAAAGAAAUAAAGAAAGUAUUGACAAGAUUAAAAGCCAUCACCACUACGAAGAAGACGAGGAGAAGGAUGAUAAGAAGUAGGACAAGUAGAACAGAUGGGACACAAGGACCUACUUAGGCCGCUCACAAUUUAUCUGACAAUUGGUUAACAUUUUUAACAAUGAGGGAGUGGGGCACCAGCUUUCUACAAAAUGUGUUUAGACUAGUAUCAUCAACA